CCUGCGGCCAUGCUGGGCUAGGACAAGAGGCAGAGGCAGAGAGACAGAGAGGAGCCACCCUAAGAAGAGAGACCAGAUACCCUUUUCUCAUCCUUUGAGUUCAACAGAUGUCUCUUCUGGUUGCAAGUGACAGAAGCCCACACAGAAAAGGCUCAGACCAAAGAGAAAUUUAUGGGCUCCUGAAACCGUAUGUCAGAGAGAGAUUGGGCCAGGGCUGGGAUGUGACCCCGGCUCUUUCUUGGUUUCUCCUCGCCGCUUCUCUCUCUCCUGCAGCCUCACAGUCUCAGACAGGAUUCUUUCAAGAAUUGCAAACUUGGCUGAAGACCUUCCUGUCCCCUUUCUUACCUCCCAUGUACAGGAUGGGGGUGAUGAUCCCACUUCUCUGACUCUCACCCAGAAGUUAGGAACUCCUUAAGCCUCCCUUGCAGAGGGACUAGGACUUAACUGAGAAAGGUG
rnacentral:lncRNA from 1 species